GAGUUCGAGUCUCCUAACCCCCACUGACCGAACUCAAUCUCCAUCGUCCGGUUUUGGAGGAUGAACUCGAGUGUUUUGAUGUGAUUUAGAUGUGUCCGCUGGAUGAACCCAGCUUCCUGUCAUUCUAAAGACGAAGUUUCAUUCGUUUUUAGUUGAUAAGAUGCUGGGCUCGAACUGAGAGAUCAGUUCAGAGUUCUAGCA
rnacentral:misc_RNA from 1 species